ensembl:misc_RNA 7SK 7SK RNA
AGAUGUGAGGGCGAUCUGGCUGCGACAUCUGUCACCCCAUUGAUCGCCAGGGUUGAUUCGGCUGAUCUGGCUGGCUAGGCCGGUGUACCCUUCCUCCCUCACCGCUCCAUGUGCGUCCCUCCCGAAGCUGCGCGCUCGGUCGAAGAGGAUGACCAUCCCCGAUAGAGGAGGACCGGUCUUCAGUCAAGGGUAUACGAGUAGCUGCGCUCCCCUGCUAGAACCUCCAAACAAGCUCUCAAGUAUGACAGAUCGUGUUUCCAAAGACUGACAGUAGAGGAAUAACAUCAUUUUCCCUACAGUUUCAGA